CGUGCAGGCGGUUUGGUAAGUUGGGCGUGAAAGCUCCCGGCUCAACUGGGAGAGGUCGUCCAAAACUACCAGACUAGAGAGCGAUAGAGGAAAAUGGAAUUCCCGGUGUAGUGGUGAAAUGCUUAGAUAUCGGGAGGAACACCAGUGGCGAAGGCGAUUUUCUGGAUCGUUUCUGACGCUCAGACGCGAAAGCUAGGGUAGCAAACG
rnacentral:rRNA from 1 species